AGUAAUACAUCGGAACGUGUCUUCUAGUGGGGGAUAACUGCCCGAAAGGGCAGCUAAUACCGCAUGAGACCUGAGGGUGAAAGCGGGGGAGUCGCAAGACCUCGCGCUGGAAGAGCGGCCGAUGUCCGAUUAGCUAGUUGGUGAGGUAAAGGCUCACCAAGGCGACGAUCGGUAGCUGGUCUGAGAGGACGACCAGCCACACUGGGACUGAGACACGGCCCAG
rnacentral:rRNA from 1 species